rnacentral:rRNA from 1 species
GACGAACGCUGGCGGCGUACUUAACACAUGCAAGUCGAACGGAAAGGCCCUGCUUUUGUGGGGUGCUCGAGUGGCGAACGGGUGAGUAACACGUGAGUAACCUGCCCUUGACUUUGGGAUAACUUCAGGAAACUGGGGCUAAUACCGGAUAGGAGCUCCUGCUGCGUGGUGGGCGUUGGAAAGUUUCGGCGGUUGGGGAUGGACUCGCGGCUUAUCCGCUUGUUGGUGGGGUAGUGGCUUACCAAGGCUUUGACGGGUAGCCGGCCUGAGAGGGUGACCGGCCACAAUGGGACUGAGAGACGGACCAGACUCCUACGGGAGGCAGCAGUCGGGAAUAUUGCGCAAUGGGCGGAAGCCUGAUGCAGCAACGCCGCGUGCGGGAUGCCGGCCUUCGGGUUGUAAACCGCUUUCGCCUGUGACGAAGCGUGAGUGACGGUAAUGGGUAAAGAAGCACCGGCUAACUACGUG